rnacentral:rRNA from 1 species
UACGGGGGGGGCAAGCGUUGUUCGGAAUUACUGGGCGUAAAGGGCGCGUAGGUGGCCUGUUAAGUCGGGUGUGAAAACUCUGGGCUCAACCCAGAGCCUGCAUUCGAUACUGAUGGGCUAGAGUUCUGGAGGGGAAAGCGGAAUUCCUGGUGUAGCGGUGAAAUGCGUAGAUAUCAGGAGGAACACCGGUGGCGAAGGCGGCUUUCUGGACAGAAACUGACACUGAGGCGCGAAAGCUAGGGGAGCAAAC